rnacentral:rRNA from 1 species
UACAGAGGUCUCAAGCGUUGUUCGGAUUCAUUGGGCGUAAAGGGUGUGUAGGUGGCGCGCUAAGUCGGGUGUGAAAUUUCGGAGCUUAACUCCGAAACUGCAUUCGAUACUGGCGUGCUUGAGGACUGGAGAGGAGACUGGAAUUCUCGGUGUAGCGGUGAAAUGCGUAGAUAUCGAGAGGAACACCUGCGGCGAAGGCGGGUUGCUGGGCCGACACUGACGCUGAGGCGCGAAAGCCAGGGGAGCGAACGGG